rnacentral:lncRNA from 1 species
UAUGUGGGGACAGCCACAGUUUGGUUCCAUCACUUCUCAGAAUGGACAUUUCUUUUUCGGACAUUUAGACAG